rnacentral:rRNA from 1 species
GGUUCGAUCCUGGCUCGAUUGAAUGCCGGCGAUGCUUACACAUGUCGAACGGCAGCACGGACUUCGGUCUGGUGGCGAGUGGCGAACGGUGAGUAAUGUAUCGGAACGUGCCUAGUAGCGGGGGAUAACUACGCGAAAGCGUAGCUAAUACCGCAUACGCCCUUCGGGGAAAGCGGGGACCUUCGGGCCUCGCACUAAUAGGAGCGGCCGAUAUCGGAUUAGCUAGGUUGGUGGGGUAACGGCUCACCAAGGCGACGAUCCGUAGCUGGUUUGAGAGGACGACCAGCCACACUGGGACUGAGACACGGCCCAGACUCCUACGGGAGGCAGCAGUGGGGGCACUUUGGACAAUGGGGGAAACCCUGAUCCAGCCAUCCCGCGUGUGCGAUGAAGCGCCUUCGGGUUGUAAGCACUUUGGCAGGAGGGAAGAAACGCACGGGAUAAUACCCCGUGCAACUGACGGUACCUGCAGAAUAAGCACCACAACUACGUGCCAGCAGCCGCGGCAAUACGAGGGUGCAAGCGUUAAUCGGAAUUACCGGCAAGAAGCGUGCGCAGGCGGUUCGGAAAGAAAGAUGUGAAAUCCCAGAGCUUAACUUUGGAACUGCAUUUUUAACUACCGGGAGCUAGAGUGUGUCAGAGGGAGGUGGAAUUCCGCGUGUAGCAGUGAAAUGCGUAGAUAUGCGGAGGAACACCGAUGGCGAAGGCAGCCUCCUCUGGGAUAACACUGACGCUCAUGUAUCAGCGGAGCAAACAGGAUUAGAUACUCCUGGUAGUCCACGCCCUAAAACGAUGUCAACUAGCCGUUGGGGCCUGGCCCGGUAGCGCAGCUAACGCGUGAAGUUGACCGCCCGGGGAGAGUACGGUCGCAAGAUUAAACCAUAAAGGAAUUGACGGGGACCCGCACAAGCGGUGGAUGAUGUGGAUUAAUCGAUGCAACGCGAAAACCCUUACCUACUCUGAUGUCUGGAAUCCCGAAGAGAUUGGGGAGUGCUCGCAAGAGAACCGGAACACAGGUGCUGCAUGGCUGUCGUCAGCUCGUGUCGUGAGAUGUUGGGUUAAGUCCCGCAACGAGCGCAACCCUUGUCAUUAGUUGCUACGAAAGGGCACUUUAAUGAGACUGCCGGUGACAAACCGAGGAAGGUGGGGAUGACGUCAAGUCCUCAAGGCCCUGGCGGUAGGGCUUCACAUCGUCAUACAAUGGUCGGGACAGAGGGUCGCCAACCCGCGAGGGGGAGCCAAUCCCGUAAAACCCGAUCGUAGUCCGGAUCGCAGUCUGCAACUCGACUGCGUGAAGUCGGAAUCGCUAGUAAUCGCGGAUCAGCAUGUCGCGGUGAAUACGUUCCCGGGUCUUGUACACACCGCCCGUCACACCAUGGAGUGGGUUUUACCAGAAGUAGUUAGCCUAACCGUAAGGAGGAUGACGCACGCCACGGUAGGAUUCAUGACUGGGGUGGUCGUAACAAGGUAG